CAUGUCUGUCUGGCAGGUUUCAUCUGACCUUGAUCUCAUUUUCCUGGUUCAUUGAUCAAUGUUAAGUUUUUGUGUUUUGGUCUGUUUUUCAAGUAAUAUAAGCAAUAGGUAAACUAUAUUUGGUGUAUGGAAUGAAGGUCUAGAAGGUACAUGUAUCAUCUGACCUUGACCUCAUUUUCAUGGUUCAUCAGUCAAUGUUAGGUUUUUGUGUUUUGGUUGGUUUACCAAAUAAGAAUAUCAAUAAACUAUGUUUGCUGUAUUGGACAAAUGUAAGGUGUACAUGUCAUUCUGACAAGUAUUAUCAUUUUAGUGUGUGCACUCUUGUGUUAUAAAUUACGGUAGGCUGAUAUAGUUAGUAUUUGUAUUUUGAAUUGUUUCACUUUUUAUGUCUUUUAUUGCCAACUAUAAAGUAUGGGUUUUUCUGGUGUACAGCUGCCUAUAAUUUGUUGAAUAGUUGUCUCAUUGACUACAUUUCUAUAUUAUUUUUAUUUGUGGUAGUCUUAAUGCCAUGCUGUGGUCUGUUUUCUUCCACUGACUGGUUUUGAUUGCUCCUUUCAUAUUUUUCCUUUUACCAGUCAAGUUUGCAGAAAUAUUGCAUAACUGAUUCUCUAAUUGGUUUAUUUAGGUUUAUGAAUUUCUCAUGUCAAGGUUGUUAGCUAUGGGAUUUGUGUUGCUCAGUAAUCAGUUUUCUAUGUAGUGUUGUGUGUUUUUUUUUUUGUUACCAUUUUAUGUCAUGGUGUUGUUGGUAUUUUUUUCUAAUAAUGAUUUUUAAUUGUGAUUUCCAUUGGUAUAGUCGGCCUCUUGAUUCAACAAAAGAAACAAAAAUACAGCACCAUUAAAAUUUUAAUAAUUUAUACUUAUGUACACCUUUAUGAAGACACACCUUUAACAAUCAAAACAUACAAUGUUUUGUAUUAUUUAUUUAAUCUGGUGAAAUUGAAUUAAAAAAAAAGAAAGAUUAUGGUGUAUUUAUUCAUGCUCAAAAUCACUACAUGCACAUGAAAAAAAAAUCUUUUUAUACUGUAAAAUAAAAAUUUCAACAGAUACAUAGUCAAAACAUGGAUGACCUGACUUCAUCAUGAACUGUCAUUUAAUAUUUUAUGUCUAAUUGCAAAACAAUUUAAGUUCAAGUCAAAAACACCACAUCUGGUUUAAUGCCAAAUAGAAUAUUACAAAAACAAAUUGCUUCAUGCAGUUAUACCUAUAUUUUUAAACUUUUAAAAUGUUCUGUGAAAAAGUAUGACAUUUGAAGCUUAGAAAGGCAGCUUUCUUGUUUUGUUAUUUUGGUUAAAUUAUUAGUGACACCGGAAGUGAAGCGACUUCUUGAACAGAAGAAAAAAAUUUUCAAAUGACUUUUAAAUAGAUUUUAUUUUUAAAAAGCAUGUAGUUGAAACUUUAUGGCAAUAUAUGAUAAUUUCCACUUAUUUGUAAUUUCUUGUUGGUAGUUCUUGUAUGGUUAAAAAUACACUUCUUCAAUGCCAAUACCAAGGGACAAGCUAGAAUAGUUAUAGUCAUGAUUUUAAAGUUAAAUAAAACAAUAUUUCUGUUUUACUGUAUGAAUAAUAGAAUUGCCAAUAUGUUUAUUUGUUUCAUAUUUACCAGGUUUGUUUCAAUCAAACAUUUAUAACCUAUUUCGUCUAAAUACCACUAAUUUCAUUUAUAGUGCAUUUCAUGUUUAAUUUUGUUUUUCAUUAAGCACUGAAUCAUUCUCAAAAUUGCACUACCACUCAUUUACUCAAUCCGCAUACAACCUCACUUUAGUACAAAUACAUAUAUAACAUUGAAACUAGGUCCUUUGAGGGGAAGGGAUGUUCUUUGAUAUACAGAGACAAACUUUUCCACAGAGACAUAUAAGGUACUGUGAAUUUUUCAGAUAUAAAUAAAUAGUACAUGUAUUUCCUGGAAGGUACACAUAUCUUUUCCUUCAUAUUAUAAGGUAUUGCAAGGUAUAUGUAUGUGAAGAAAAACUAGAUAGCCAUUUUCAAACUUGUACUUCAAUCUUUUGCUCAGACCUCUCACUAACUACAACCUUUAAUAAUAAUUUAUAUAUUAAUCAAAAGGAUAUUGAUAAAUGUAUCAGCAACAACCUCCUUUUUUGUAAAUAUUAAAUUGAAUUUAUAUAACUUAAACCAAAACUUUAUAAUUCCUCAAAAAACAAACCCUAAAAAAAUU
rnacentral:lncRNA from 1 species